UACGGAGGGUGCAAGCGUUGUCCGGAUUUAUUGGGUUUAAAGGGUGCGUAGGCGGCCAAUUAAGUCAGGGGUGAAAUCCCGGGGCUCAACCCCGGAACCGCCUUUGAUACUGGUUGGCUUGAGUUCGGUAGAGGCGGGCGGAACUGGUGGUGUAGCGGUGAAAUGCUUAGAUACCACCAAGAACCCCGAUUGCGUAGGCAGCUCGCUUGGCCGAAACUGACGCUGAGGUGCGAAAGUGUGGGGAGCAAACAGG
rnacentral:misc_RNA from 1 species